GGUCCGGUGGCUCAACUGAUAAGGCGUCUGACUUCGGUUUACUUCGCGAAUAGAGAAAUCCCCAUGGAUUUUCGGAAUCGGAUCAGAAGAUUGCGGGUUCGAGCCCCGUCUGGAUCG